CCUGACUGCUAUCGGAUUGAUACUAAGCCAUGCGAGUCAUUGUAGUAAUACAAGGCAGACGGCUCAGUAACGCGUAGUCAACCUAACCUAUGGACGGGAAUAACCUCGGGAAACUGAGUAUAAUGCCCGAUAGAACAUUAUGCCUGGAAUGGUUUAUGUUCCAAAUGAUUUAUCGCCGUAGGAUGGGACUGCGGCCUAUCAGUUUGUUGGUGAGGUAAUGGCCCACCAAGACUAUUACAGGUACGGGCUCUGAGAGGAGUAGCCCGGAGAUGGGUACUGAGACACGGACCCAGGCCCUAUGGGGCGCAGCAGGCGAGAAAACUUUGCAAUGUGCGAAAGCACGACAAGGUUAAUCCGAGUGGUUUCUGCUAAAGGAACCUUUUGUUAGUCCUAGAAACACUAACGAAUAAGGGGUGGGCAAGUUCUGGUGUCAGCCGCCGCGGUAAAACCAGCACCUCAAGUGGUCAGGGUGAUUAUUGGGCCUAAAGCAUCCGUAGCCGGCUCUAUAAGUUUUCGGUUAAAUCUGUACGCUCAACGUACAGGCUGCCGGGAAUACUGCAGAGCUAGGGAGUGGGAGAGGUAGACGGUACUCGGGAGGAAGGGGUAAAAUCCUUUGAUCUCUCGAUGACCACCUGUGGCGAAGGCGGUCUACCAGAACACGUCCGACGGUGAGGGAUGAAAGCUGGGGGAGCAAACCGGAUUAGAUACCCGGGUAGUCCCAGCUGUAAACUAUGCAAACUCAGUGAUGCAUUGACUUGUGGUCAAUGCAGUGCUGCAGGGAAGCCGUUAAGUUUGCCGCCUGGGAAGUACGUACGCAAGUAUGAAACUUAAAGGAAUUGGCGGGGGAGCACCACAAGGGGUGAAGCCUGCGGUUC
rnacentral:rRNA from 1 species